GCGGGCGUGGCGGAACUGGUAGACGCGCUGGAUUUAGGUUCCAGUGGAGCAAUCCGUGGGGGUUCGAGUCCCUUCGCCCGUACCA
rnacentral:tRNA from 17 species